GGCUCGUUGGUCUAGGGGUAUGACUCUCGCUUUGGGUGCGAGCGGUCCCGGGUUCGAAUCCCGGACGAGCCC
rnacentral:tRNA from 1 species